rnacentral:tRNA from 1 species
GGUCCUUUAGCUCAGUGGUAGAGCGAGAGAUUGCAGCUCCGCAGUCAUCUCUAGGUCGCGUGUUCGAUCCACGCAGGGACCU